rnacentral:rRNA from 1 species
UGGGGAAUAUUGGACAAUGGGGGCAACCCUGAUCCAGCCAUGCCGCGUGUGUGAAGAAGGCCUUUUGGUUGUAAAGCACUUUAAGCAGUGAAGAAGACUCCAUGGUUAAUACCCAUGGACGAUGACAUUAGCUGCAGAAUAAGCACCGGCUAACUCUGUGCCAGCAGCCGCGGUAAUACAGAGGGUGCAAGCGUUAAUCGGAAUUACUGGGCGUAAAGCGAGCGUAGGUGGGUUGAUAAGGCAGAGGUGAAAGCCCCGGGCUUAACCUGGGAACGGCAUCUGAUACUGUUAGGCUAGAGUAGGUGAGAGGAAGGUAGAAUUCCAGGUGUAGCGGUGAAAUGCGUAGAGAUCUGGAGGAAUACCGAUGGCGAAGGCAGCCUUCUGGCAUCAUACUGACACUGAGGUUCGAAAGCGUGGGUAGCAAACA